UUUUUCUUUGCAGUGUAAAUUACACAGCUUCAGUAUAAGAAUUCACAGCUCGUUAAGUCUUCAAUCGUUAAUGGAGAUGAGCACCAACCCCCAGAGUCAGACAUGACUGGACUUAAUGUCAGGGGAAACCUUUACCUUUACCUUUUUACUGAGUCCCCUUCGGGGUGAGAAGAGCGGGAUAUAAAUGUAGUAAAUUAAAUAAUAAAUAAUAAAGUGGGCCCUGAGACUUCAAGUCUCCCUGACUCGGAGGGUUGCAGUUCCUCUUCUCCCUCUCCCCGCCCGGCCUCUUGCCCCCGCUUCUUCCCACUGAAAGAAACCCCCCAAUAAAUCUCGUCCUCCCACCUCUUUCUGCUCCCUGGGCCCCAGGGCUGGGCGCAGGCCAUUCCCAAACUUCUCCUUCACCUUCGCCUUGCAGCCUUGGGAGAGGCACAUAUUUUCCUGACCAGCAAGGGCAGAGGACGCCCGUCUUCCCUGGCCGCUUUUCCACGCAUCUUUUCUUCCUUCUCUUCUUUCCUCUUCCUCUUCUCUCCCCCUUCCUCUCCUCCGUUGGGAUUCUCUCUCGUUGCGCUUCUUCGCAUCUGCCGCCGGCGGCUUGCUUUCUCUCUCUCUCUCUCUCUCUCUCUCUCUCUCUCUCUCUCUCUCUCUCUCUCUCUCUCUCUCUCUCUCUCUCUCCUUCGUUGCCUCAGUUCCCUCUGCUGCGACCGCAACAGCUGGGGAGACCCCUUCCCCGCCCCCUGGCCGCCCCCUCUCUCUCGCCUCCCUCCGGAGAAGCCCUUUCCCUCUGCGGAGUCACCUCUCGCUUGCCCACUCCCCCCCCCCCCCCCACACACACACAAUCCCCGCCUCGCCUUGCCGCCUCCUCCUCGCCUCAACUGGGCCAGCAGCUCCCAGUCCCGCCGCACCGAGCUCCCCGCCUUUCCCUCUCUCGCUUCCACGGCACGCGCGGCUUCCUCUUCCCCUUCCUCUUCCCCUUCCUCUUCCUCCGCCGCGUCCUCCCGAUGGUGCCGCGCCCGCCCCGGUGGCCCUCGCGCCCUCCGCGCCUCCGCCUCCCGCUGGUGCUGGCGCUGCUGCUGGCCGCCCUGGGACACGCGUGGACCUACCGCGAGGAGCCCGAGCAGAGCGACAGGGAAGUGUGUUCAGAGAGCAAAGUGGCCACCACCAGAUACUCCUGUCUCAAGCCCAGUGGGGAGCUCGCCACCUGCUUCAGGUGAGUGGCCUUCUUUGCAAAGAGGAGGAGGAAGAGGAGGAGCCUUUGUGGUGCCUUGUCUUUGGGUUUCUCCUGUCAGAGGACUUCCUCCUCUGAGAGCCUCUGAGAUCCCCUUCCCGGUUUCAUCCCUUCCUUCUUUCUUUCACUGUGGUUACUGA
rnacentral:lncRNA from 1 species